GGUACCGUAUAUGCAUGUGUGGAAAUGUCGCCAUGGAACCCAAUCACUUCUACAGUUAAUUCGUGCUGGUAAUCACUUUUUAAAAAUAAAAAGACCCGAGACCUGUGGUGCAUGUCAGUGGGUUCAGGAUGAGAGGCCACACAGCAUACUGAGCAGAUCUCUGGCCUGGGACAAGAAGCUGUUCAAGGGACUGUCAGCUCCAACCGGGUAACCGGUCACCAGACAGCCAGUAGCCUACCACAGUGACAGAAAGAGUGAGAAGGAGAAGGGAGAGCCCCAGAGCAUUAGUCCCUCCCAAGAGCCCUAAAACCAGCAAACAGAUAUCCCGGGCUCUGUUCCCAGUCCCAAGGUAAGCAAAGAGGGCCUGCGUCACAUCCCAUGGGUCACAAAACUGAGUCCAGUCUCCUCAAGAUUUGCCACUUCCUCCUUUUUCCUAUGGUUUUCACGGUGCUAAUUAUUGGACUGUGUCUCUCCACGGGACUCCUCGGCAUCAGGAUUCCAGCAUUUGGCGCUGUGUGGUUUCAGCUCCUGUCGUGGCAUUACUCUCCUACCCACUGAUGGCUCCUAGCAAGGCUCCGGAGUGGAGGAAAAUGAACUUUGGAUUUAAGGCACUUGUCCCCAUUCACCAGCCUGAAGUCCCCUGCCUCAUCGGUAAAGGAGAGCGGCUCCUGGGAGGAUUAUGAAAACCCACUUGCAAAGCUCCCAGCCAGGGCCUGGCCUGCAGUAGGGGCCCCACAAAGAUCAGCCGUUAUUCUAGGGUGACAGAUCUCUACCGCACCCGGAAUGGCACCAGGAUCAGGUUCUGCCUUUCUAGACCAGAUAUGCUCCCUGUCAUCCCGUGGCCAACCUACUCUGCAGAUGAGGAACGGAGGCUUGGCAUGGUUAUGUAACUUGCUCAAGGUCACACAGCUGGAAGAUAGCAGAGACACCUCUGAAUGGGAGAGAAGCAUUCGGCCGUUGCAAGAGUGCUGUUUAACUCAUCACAGAGAACAAUUCUUUGGAAUUGAUGAGAAUUUUCUGGAAGCUGCAUGUUGUUUUCACUUUCAUCUGUGACAACCAAAGCUUGCAUUCAGCUUUUUCGAGUUUCCUGGCUCAGCAUCAGCCAGCAGGCUGCGGCGUGGGUGGCUCCCAGUCCCGUGGGGUCCGAGGCCACUGCCUUGUGCAUGCCAGCCCAGCUCAGCAAGCUGCAGGCACCAGCUCAUGCCCAAAUUUAAAAGAAAGAAAAUGGGUCACAAGGGACCAAAGGGAAACAAUCGAUGUGUGUUGUCAUCAUCUCCUCUUAGGGGUUGGUCACCACAGCCAGCAGUCAGAGAGCCGGACAAGGAAAUGAUGGAGCCAGCAGCAAACGGAGUUCCUGGGUGGGAGUAGGGUGGGCCCUUGUAUGAGACUCCUGCACACAUCUGCCUCCCUGAUUCCCAGGUUCUGCCAGGUGGAAACCAAGCCCGCCUGCGCCAGGAGCCAAAGCAAGGACUCAACUGGUAGGCAUUAUCUGCUGAGCUCUUUGGGCCAAACACAAAAGCUGCCACUCCCAUGAUAGAAGUUCCCACGUGCAGGCUCCCCAGUUCCUGGCUGCCAUGCAAGCGGGAUCAAAUUUCCAUUUACUGGGGCCAGAGCCAGGCAGAGGGUCUGUGUGUGCCUGUGUGUGUGUGUGUGCGCGCGCGCGCGUGCACGCAUGUUUGGGGAGUGCAAAUAUUUGCAUAACACAGAGAUCUUUGCAGAUACAGACAAACAGGAAGUUUCAGGCCUGGGCCAUUUCCUUUCGCUGUGAAUCAGCAGCUGCUUCCUCCUCAAGAAGUGAUGACAGUCACACGGUACCUGCACAUGGAGAGGACAGUCCUAGCCACCCAACAUAUGUGUGACUCGUGGGCUGGGAGGAAGGUCCACCACGAGACUGGGGGAGCCUUCGCCCCUAGUUCUUGGUGAGGCUUAUGUCACAGAGGAGCACUGCUGAGUAACAAGCCUGGGUACGGUAGGAGGUGUCCAGGCUCAGAGCCCCUCAGAGCCCAGUGGCAGGCCAUUGUCCCUUCUCAGCCCGGGCUCUCCUCAGGGAAAUGACUGAUAACGGCUACCUUGCAGAUUGUGACACACAAAAGGGAGGAAUAUAAGGGCGCACAUAUAAGCACACAGACUUUGGAGUCAGGUGUGUGAGUUCAAAUCCCAGCUCAACCAUGUCCUGGGCAGGUGACCCAAGUGUUCCAAGUCUUCAUUUCUCCAUCAGUAAAAAUGGAGAUAAAAGAAUAUCUGCCUGAUGGUCCCCUGGGAAGUUGAGUCAUCUCAUCACUUCACAUCAUGCACACGUGGCCAGGAAACCUUCAGGAAUGUGAACCUGCCCUCCCACCACCUCCUCCCUGUCCCUCCAGUGCUGGAUCCAUGACCCAGGGACCUCUGUCAAUUUCCUCCACCAGUGUGUGCCCAGCACCCGCUUGGACCACUGAAUAAACUGAACGGAUGUCCCUCAUUCAUAGCAGGUGCUAAGGAAAUGUAUCACAUGAAUGUUGUUCAGAGGAAAGCCACAGGCCAAAUCACACCCUCUCUGUUUCUGAAACUCCUUCCGGGGGACCAACAUGGAAUCAUGAUCACAGAUUCGGAAGCAGUUAGACCUGGCUUGUGUUCUAGCUCUGCUCACUCACUAGCACUGUGUCCUUCACUUUCGGGCCUCCCUUCCCUCCUCUGUGAAAUGGACAUCAGAGUAGCAACUCACCUACACUGGUUAUUUCAGGGUUCAAUGAGAUAAUGUAAGCCAAGCACUUAACACAGUACUCUGCAGGUAAAAACCCUGUGGUGGAAUGUGUCCGUUAAAUCCCAGCCUCAAGACCCCAGAAGAUGUUUCAAAAAGACUUUGCUUUUCUUUCAGAGAGACAAGGGGGCUGGCACUGAUGCCCCUCCUGCCUCAUUUCUCUUGCUCUCUGCUUCUCAGCCGAAUCCCUCUCCAUUCUUAGGUCUAGUGGUCUCUUCUUGUUGAAGAGCCAGUGUCCCCAUCCCUGUGGACUCCUGUAGAGGACACAGCCCCUCUCCACAUCACUUUGCCAUGCCAGGAGUGAGGGGGUGCAGAGGGUCCCCCAGCUACUGAAUCCCCUUUGUGUCACCUGAGGUGGAGUCUUGCUCACUGGUCUGUCCUUCAAGGUGAGUCCAGGAUGCCAGGGAGGCACCAGCCUGGCUUGGAAUUCAAGCCUCUGCCACAUCCAAGGCUGCAUAAUCUCAGGCAAGCCCACUGCUCUUUCUCUACCUCCGAUUCCUAAGCAGUGAAAUGGUAACCAUUGUUAGCACCCACAGCUGACCUGGAAACACUAGCCAGCUAUGCCACUGACCUAUUCAGUGGAUGCCAGCCAGUGCCCCAGCGUCCGGCAGAGGCGUCAUGGCGCCUGGCCCGUUGUACAUAUCGCAAAACAAUGGCUACUGCCAUUUCUGUUUCAACGCACACCCUGUUCCUUGCAAUUCCUAGCCCAGCCCUGAUACAGGGACGUUCAGAGGUGAGAGCUUUAAACAGACCUGGCUUUUGUUCUCCCCCAAGUGAAUGAAGGCUCACCUCCCUUUCUUGCUUCCCUUUGCUCACUAGAAGGUCACCGAAGCGCUGGAGAAGAGCCAGAAACUUUACCCCUGGGUUACCUGGGGUGGGAGCUGUUUUCCCCAUGAACAUUCUUCACAGAUAUUCAACACAGCCACGUAAGAGCCAAAUGCCUGAAGGCCCCAUCACCGAGCAGACCUGCAGUGGGGCCACGCCAGCGUGUAGCCUGCACAGCACACACAGGACCUCGUUGGAGAUGCUCACUGUGCUGGCAGAGGACAGGCUCAGUCCCUCUCCUGUGCCCACUGCUUGGACCUCAUCAUUACAAAGUGCUCCCGGGGCAUCCAGCAGUGAAGCGGCCUCACAGCAGCAAGGGCUUCAGCUCAGCCACCCCAGUCCUGCUUCCUGCACCCCAAUAUACGCAAAGCCAGAAAUGUCAAGGAUGCCAGGCCCAGCUGCCCAGAGAAGGGAGGACAUCUCUUCCCCCAGGGAGAACCUGCUGCAGUCCGAAUGUGCUAAGGCCGGACAGCUGGUCACCCAGGGAGGCCUGGAUGCCCUGCUUGAGCUGUCACAGCGUGCUGGGCCCCCAGUGUGACAACUGAAAGCAGCCAUCUCUUUCCCAUGGCCAUGGCAUGGUGGAACCAGGGUGCCAGCAGCACCUGGCUACUCAACUGGGAUGUCCUCUCCUUCCUCCCCUGUCAUCACUGCAAGAUGCUCCUGCAGGAGAGAGCACAAAGCCUGCCAGGGAGGGAGGUGACUGCAUAAAAGCACUGGCUCCAGAGAUGGCACCUGAGUGAUUGGCCCCACAAACACAAACCCAGAUGGGAUUUGCUCUAGUGCUGUACCAGUGAGUGUGUGUGUUUGCUUAUUCAGUUGAUAGCAACGAAUUUUUUGACUAGAACACAGGGGAAUCUAUGAGGCGUGGGUGCCUGUCUCCUGCUGUGUCAGGACCACGCCUAGCAGAGAGCAGCAUGGUUGUGAUCAUAAAGCUGCCGUUUCUCCUCUGUCAGCUCUGCUCCUUCUCUAGCAGGUGUUUUAUACGCAUUCUCUGCCUUCAAUUUAUGCCCUGUUGAAACCCUCUGAGGGAGGGAUUAUAACAACACUAACUUGGUAACACUUCUCAGACUCUUUCGGUGUGGCAGGCACUGGGCUCCACGUCUGAUAACAUCUCCCCCGCCCCUCCCAGAACCCCUGUUGAAGCAGUGCUGCUUUUCUAUCUCACAGAGGGAUAAGGCGAGACCUAGGGCUCCAGCCCAGGUCUGCUGUCGCCACACCUGGGAGCAUCCCCACUGCCCGCCUGUCCUGUGCCAUCCUGCUUUGUCUCAUGGUCUCCCGACUGAGCACGUGAGGCCUGGGGGCUGAGGACCCAGUCGAGCAGAUGGAAAUUCUGGGGCUGGCUUCCCACACCCACACCCCAUCUCUGCCAGUCAGUGCGGAUUCGUGGGGUGCUCGCGUGAGCACCGAGAGAACCAUCAAGACGGCCUGUGGUUGUGCAUCAGUGGGGUCUGUAGUUACAACCCGUGAGCCCCUGGCAGUGGCUCAUCAUGGAUUAACAUCCCGGGCUGACCAGAGGCAGUUAGUGUUGUACAUUCUGCGGUUUUGACCAGUGUUUAAGGACACAUAUCCGUUACGGUUUCGUACAGAAUGGGGCACUGACUAAAAAUACUGUGCUCUACCUGUUCAUCCCUCCCUCCCUCCUGACCUCUAGCAACCACCAAUCUUUUCACCAUCUGCAUAGUUUCAUCUUUCCUCAUAGAGUAAUAAACAAAUCAGGGCUGAUCAAAAAUAUGAACACUUACAUUUAAAAAAAAAUUUUUUUUGGUACUGAGGAUCGAACUCAGGACCUUGCACUUUCAAUUCAGAUGGCAGCAUCAUUGAGCUAAAUCCCCAGCCCCACUUAAAAAAAUUAUUACAGUAAAUGACAUAUUGCCAUUCAUUAAUCACCAUCAAAAUAUUUCCACUCACUUUGAAUACACUUAUCCCAUCAUUCUUGCCAUUUUCUGAAGCACUUCUGGAAGUUCUCUUUCAUGUCUUUAUGAGGGAUAAUCAAAAAUGCAGUGAAUGCUGCUGCCAAGUGUCAUCUAGCAGAAAAGCAGGCUCAUGAAAACAAUACAGUGUGUCCUCAGACACCUUAUUCAUCAGAUCUAGCAUUGUGUGAAAUCCAGCUCUUCCUCAAAGUCAAAAUGACUAUGAAAGUAAAUUUCUUGGUUUUUUUCCGGUACUAGGGAUCGAACUCAGGACCUUGUGCUUGCAGGUCAGCCGCAGCUCUACUGAGCCAAAUUCCCAGUCCCAAAAGUAAAUGUUCUUAAUUGAUUCAGGACAUUGUGGCAGGAGUGAUAGUACAACUAAAGACAUUCACAAAAGAGGACUUCCAAAACAGUGGGGUAACUGUGUUCAAACAGAGGGUUAUCUUGAGGAUUAAGGGCAACAUAUCUUUUACUGUAAUACAUUUUUUAAAAAUUUAAGCAUACACUGUAUUUUUCAACAACACCCCAAGUAUAUGUAGUCUUCUUUCACCAUCUGGCAGUAAGUGGGUAAGGUCUUUUUGUGGACUGAUAGCUCAUUUCUUUCUAUUGUAGAAUGAGAGUCUACUGUCUGGAUGUACCGCAGUUUAUCCAUUUGCCUACUGAACAACAUCUUAGUUGCUUCCCAGUUUUGGCAAUUAUGAAUAAAGCCACUAUAAACAUUGGUGUGCAGGCUUUAGUAUGGGGGUUAAGAUUUCAACUUAUUUGGAUAAAUACCUAGGCACGCGGUUGCUGGAUGGCGCGGGGAGUCUACAUUUAGUUUUGCAGAUAGUAUCUUAAACUUAAUUUUACUCUGGAUGGUUUGCAUCUUAAUGUGCUUGCUUUUUCCUGGGGGUUUGCAACCUUUCAAUCAGAACAAGAGGCUUUAUAAACACAAAGGCCUAACAUCCAGUGUGCCCUGCUCUCAGCCUGUCUGUCCUUCCCCACUCCGGUUCCCAGGCAGACCCACCAUGCUGGGAUUCUAUGCAAACGGCCUGGCUCUCCAGAACAGGGACGUGAUUGCAUGAGGCUCAAAACUAGCUCACAUCUGCUGGGUGCACAUGAAGAUCUCAUUUAUUUCAAGCCCAGGAGUUUAGAAUGUCAAUAAAAUUUGAAAGUCAAAUUUUGGGAUAAUUCUAGAAUAUAAUUAAAUUUAUUGUACAUGCA
ensembl:lncRNA